GAUGAACGCUGGCGGCGUGCCUAAUACAUGCAAGUCGAGCGAACAGACGAGGAGCUUGCUCCUCUGACGUUAGCGGCGGACGGGUGAGUAACACGUGGAUAACCUACCUAUAAGACUGGGAUAACUUCGGGAAACCGGAGCUAAUACCGGAUAAUAUAUUGAACCGCAUGGUUCAAUAGUGAAAGACGGUUUUGCUGUCACUUAUAGAUGGAUCCGCGCCGCAUUAGCUAGUUGGUAAGGUAACGGCUUACCAAGGCAACGAUGCGUAGCCGACCUGAGAGGGUGAUCGGCCACACGGGAACUGAGACACGCUCCAGACUCCUACGGGAGGCCGCAGUAGGGAAUCUUCCGCAAUAGGCGAGAGCCUGACGGAGCAACGCCGCGUGAGUGAUGAAGGUCUCCGGAUCGUAAAACUCUGUUAUUAGGGAAGAACAAAUGUGUAAGUAACUAUGCACGUCUUGACGGUACCUAAUCAGAAAGCCACGGCUAACUACGUG
rnacentral:rRNA from 1 species